GCUUAAUUUCAUUUGUUAGUGGCUUGCGUUGCUUCCAAAGGGGAUUAAUGAAAGUAAUAAUGGAUCUUUGGGGAGUAAUAAACGCGAGUAUCAUGUGUCUGCGCAGAGAGCGAAUUUAGCGCGAAGGACGUACAGAAACUAGCUCGUUUGCAAGUCGUCAUAACAGAUCUUUUCCUCUUGGCGUGGCCAAAAGGAUCGAUAGACAUACGUAGAUAAAUAGAAUAUUUGCCAAGCUUCGCUUGAAAGUGUUAACGAGCGAUCUUUCGAUGUCAAGUUGCGGUCUAGUAAGAAUGUAUCGGCCGUCUGAGAAUUGAAGACGUCGCUGAUUCAAGCGUGUCAAGGUCGUGCGGGAAGACAACACGAUCGUGCUCGUUCAGAAUUUGCGGCAGGUGCCACAUGGCACGACCUGCACGCAUUUGCAUCCGUUUCGUCGACGUGAUCGCGAGGAGACGACGUAGGGCAGCUCCGAGGUCAUCUGAGAAUAUAUCUGUCAAAUUCGACGAUUGAUUGUGUCUGAUCGACUCACGCUGAUGAACAUGUGUCAACCUCUCCUGGAACCUAGCCCUUUCCCUGCGUGUCGCUGAUAUUGACCGGCGGGAUUCACGCAGUUUACGACAAGCGCCGGCGCGCGCUCUACUUGCAGCACUUUCAUGACAGAACGAGGGAGAGAGCCGUGAGCGAGCUGGGGGAGAAGAGAGAUGCUUUUCACUGUGUCCAGAAUCGGGAAGUCCCGCCGUUCGUAAGCAGCAAGGCACGGACGGGCUCUUCUUCGAUCUCGAGCGCGCAAGAAGCGAACGACUUUUCUCGCUGGAAACCAGGUCGUGCCGGAUGACCGUCGUGAAGCGUGCACCAGGCGUCGUCUUUCUCUCUUUCGAUUGAUUUAUAUGUGCCGAUCUAUUUACUAUCACUACCAUUACAUAUAUGGCGUGCUACAAGAGCGAGAUACAAGAUUAAGAUUAAUAAGAUUAAUAUCAAUAGAUCGACGAAGUAGUAAAUAUUUCUUUUAAUUUCUGAUAUAUUUUUGCUGCAAUCUUAUUCUUUAAUUUUGAUGCAUAAACACUUCUAUCUGUUAAAAAAAAAAUUAAUCUCAACAUGAUUUUUGUCGAUUGGAAAAAGAUCAGGAAAUUGGCCUAAUAUUUUUAAAGUAAAAUUUAAUAUUACGCAUGAAGACUUACACUAUAUAAUUGGCGUCAAACAAAUAUAUGUUUGGUUUAUUUAUCAUAUUUCGUUUAUAGAUUAUUUAACGCGCGAUUUACGCAACCACACAUUUUUGCUUAUCUAUAAUAAAUUCAACGAAUUAUUUAACGCA